rnacentral:rRNA from 1 species
UACAGAGUUCUCAAGCGUUGUUCGGAUUCAUUGGGCGUAAAGGGUGUGUAGGUGGCGCGCUAAGUCGGGUGUGAAAUUUCGGAGCUUAACUCCGAAACUGCAUUCGAUACUGGCGUGCUUGAGGACUGGAGAGGAGACUGGAAUUCAUGGUGUAGCAGUGAAAUGCGUAGAGAUCAUGAGGAAGACCAGUGGCGAAGGCGGGUCUCUGGACAGUUCCUGACACUGAGACACGAAGGCCAGGGGAGCAAACGGG